AAGAUAUCCUAAAAAGUGAGUCAAAAAUUCAGAAUACAAGGAGCUUUCAAGGAAAAAGCCUGUAUGCUGCAUUUGCCUGCCUUCCAAGCAACGUCACGCUUUCUGAUUACUCGUGAUCAAAGUAAGAAUCGGGGAAGCACUCGCUGUGUCCACGCAGCAAUGGAUCAGGGAGGCAGAACGGAGAACACUGAAAAGAGCAUGACAAUACCCAGCUAUUCUUCAGUCCUGUGUCAUAAAAGUAUGAUCCUAUUUUGCUUCACUCUAGAUGUAAAGCUCUAAUUUUAGAAUGAUAUACCCUCACCCAUCCCCCAGGCUGUUUAUCCCCCAGCCUAGAACUCCCUGUCCCGUAAUGGGUUCAGGUCAUGCCAAAGUCACUUUUCCCACCUAUAUUCUUGAAUGGCUUCCUCCCCACUGGACUUGGGCAUCCCCGUUCACAUCCAUUUUUCUUUGGUCACUCUCACCUCUGUCACAUUGGAAAUUUCUUCCAUCACUUUGCAUCACCUGGAAACCUGAGCAGGGUAUGUCCUACAUCCUUUUACAAAUCAUGGAGUCGAUUUUUGACCUGGCACUGAAUACCAACUCUGCUCAUCCUCUGCCUGAAUGUGCUGAUUUCACGUUUCCUCGAUUUUGGCAUAACUGUAAAAUGUGGAAAGCUUGCCUUUGGUGCCCCUCAGUGUGCUCCCUGUUUUCCUUUUCCCAAGCCCUAACCAUCCAUCCUAGCCUUUUGCUACCCACAAAAUGCCCUCUGGCUGCUACUUCCUUCGACUCCAGCUGUUCUCUCUACUCCCCUUAUCCCAAAUCUGCCUCUCCACUCUUCUUAUCAAGCCUGGCCUCAGAAAUCUGUAAAGAAAAGAAGUUAACAAAUUUCAAGUUGCUAAUACAAACCGAUGAUGGAUCCUCCAUUUUGUUCCUUCCAUAUUUGUGUCCAUCAGAGGAAAAUGGACUUAAAUAAAAAAAUACGUAUCCAGUCAUAUCAUGGGAUAAUUUUAGCUGUCGCUGCAACC
rnacentral:lncRNA from 1 species